UACGUAGGUGGCAAGCGUUGUCCGGAAUUAUUGGGCGUAAAGCGCGCGCAGGCGGCCUCCUAAGUCCGAUGUGAAAGCCCACGGCUCAACCGUGGAGGGUCAUUGGAAACUGGGGGACUUGAGUGCAGGAGAGAAAGAGUGGAAUUCCACGUGUAGCGGUGAAAUGCGUAGAGAUGUGGAGGAACACCGUGGCGAAGGCGC
rnacentral:rRNA from 1 species